rnacentral:lncRNA from 1 species
UCAACCCGCGCCAAAGACAAAGCGUUAUGCAAAUCGCCCUCCCCUUCCCCAUCCCCCAGCUCCCGGGGUCUGACGCUGUUUUCCCAGCCUGUUUUUAAUGAUACGGUGCGCGGAGUAACUUAAAAUUAAUUAUAAGGUUCUCGACUAAAAGGAAAGGGGGGAGGCGGUGUCAUUAGGCGGGUUUGGUAUUCAGAGCCGCGGCCACCUGCGCUUGGCGGCGGUGGCCGGCCAAGGGUGCUAAGCCGUAGUGACCGGGCUGCGGGGGCUGCUGCCGCUCCGGUUUUUUGGGGGCAUCUGCGCGGGUCGGAGAGCCCAGCCAAGGUCUUCAUUUCUAUUUGAUGUAGGUUUCGAACUUCAGAUUUAUGGCUCAACACCUCGCAACAAAUUUUGUAAAUAUUCUGUGGGGGCUUGGUCCUGAAACAUAAACACUUCUUCCUAUUGAGGCACUGAGGAAAAACAGAUCCCCUCAUUUAUUAUGUGAUAUCCAGAAGGCUAAGGAGAUUUUGAUCUCCUUUUUCAGGAACAUCUUCUUCAGUAAGAAAAAUGAAAUGUCAUCAUGCUAAGAAACAGAACAUAGUUGGAACCAAAAGCGUUCUGGAUUUGCAUCAUAACAGUCGGAACCCUUUUCUUGCCCUUCCCUUUGUCAUUUAUAGUUCAUCCAUUUACUUAAACCUCAAGCCUGGUGGGAGGAAAAGAGAAAAAAUCAGGAAUCCCAUGUGGACUCUGAAUCUCUGCCAGUAA